rnacentral:lncRNA from 1 species
CUGGAGUUCACGGCUGGGCCGAGGGCUCGGCCGGGCUGAGGCUCAGGGUUGGACUUCACGCAAGAGUCCUGUAGAGACGAAGACCUGGGCGGAGAGCGAUGUGGGUCAGGACGACGCUCACAAUUGAAAGAUGGACUAAGGAAAAGACCGAGCCCAAGGCCCGCUCGUGGGAUGAGAGCAGAUGCCGCGGCACCGAGAUCAUUCAACCAAGGAAAUCCACUGAGCAGGAUAAUGCUGCAGCACACACCUCGCUUAGUUCAGGGAAAUUGUCCUGCUGAC